rnacentral:tRNA from 1 species
GCCUACGCGGUGUAGUGGUCAGCACGCUCGGCGCGUAUUCGAGAAGUCCGUGGUUCGAAUCCCGGCGACGGCA